rnacentral:miRNA from 1 species
GACAAGUAAUGAAGUAUACAAUUACUUCACUUUCGGAGUUCUGAAUUUUCAGAAAUGAUGAUUCAGAAUUCGAAAGUGAGGUAAAAUGAGGGAUAGAUAAGUAGAAAGCAUUGAGAAUUU